rnacentral:rRNA from 1 species
UACGAAGGGGGCUAGCGUUGCUCGGAAUUACUGGGCGUAAAGCGCACGUAGGCGGCUUCUUAAGUCGGUGGUGAAAUCCUGGAGCUCAACUCCAGAACUGCCUUCGAUACUGGGAAGCUCGAGUCCGGGAGAGGUGAGUGGAACUGCGAGUGUAGAGGUGAAAUUCGUAGAUAUUCGCAAGAACACCAGUGGCGAAGGCGGCUUACUGGUCCGGAUCUGACGCUGAGGCGCGAAAGCGUGGGGAGCAAACAGG